rnacentral:rRNA from 1 species
UUCUAAGGGCGUUGAAGCAUGAUCGCAAGGACAUGUGGAGCGCUUAGAAGUGAGAAUGCCGGUGUGAGUAGCGAAAGACGGGUGAGAAUCCCGUCCACCGAUUGACUAAGGUUUCCAGAGGAAGGCUCGUCCGCUCUGGGUUAGUCGGGUCCUAAGCUGAGGCCGACAGGCGUAGGCGAUGGAUAACAGGUUGAUAUUCCUGUACCACCAUUAUUCGUUUUAAGCGAUGGGGGGACGCAGUAGGAUAGGCGAAGCGUGCUGUUGGAGUGCACGUCCAAGCAGUGAGAUUGAGUGUUAGGCAAAUCCGGCACUCUUAAGAUUGAGCUGUGAUGGGGAGAGGAACUUGUUCCUCGAGUCGUUGAUUUCACACUGCCGAGAAAAGCCUCUAGCUAGAAUAACGGUGCCCGUACCGCAAACCGACACAGGUAGUCAAGAUGAGAAUUCUAAGGUGAGCGAGCGAACUCUCGUUAAGGAACUCGGCAAAAUGACCCCGUAACUUCGGGAGAAGGGGUGCUCUUUGAGGUUCACGCUUCGAAGAGCCGCAGUGAAUAGGCCCAAGCGACUGUUUAUCAAAAACACAGGUCUCUGCUAAACCGUAAGGUGACGUAUAGGGGCUGACGCCUGCCCGGUGCUGGAAGGUUAAGAGGAGUGGUUAGCGCAAGCGAAGCUACGAAUCGAAGCCCCAGUAAACGGCGGCCGUAACUAUAACGGUCCUAAGGUAGCGAAAUUCCUUGUCGGGUAAGUUCCGACCCGCACGAAAGGCGUAACGAUUUGGGCACUGUCUCAACGAGAGACUCGGUGAAAUCAUAGUACCGGUGAAGAUGCCGGUUACCCGCGACAGGACGGAAAGACCCCGUGGAGCUUUACUGUAGCCUGAUAUUGAAAUUCGGUACAGUUUGUACAGGAUAGGUAGGAGCCUUAGAAGCGUGAGCGCUAGCUUACGUGGAGGCAUUGGUGGGAUACUACCCUAAUUGUAUUGGAUUUCUAACCCGCAGCACUUAUCGUGCUGGGAGACAGUGUCAGGCGGGCAGUUUGACUGGGGCGGUCGCCUCCUAAAGAGUAACGGAGGCGCUCAAAGGUUCCCUCAGAAUGGUUGGAAAUCAUUCAUAGAGUGUAAAGGCAUAAGGGAGCUUGACUGCGAGACCUACAAGUCGAGCAGGGUCGAAAGACGGACUUAGUGAUCCGGUGGUUCCGCAUGGAAGGGCCAUCGCUCAACGGAUAAAAGCUACCC